CCUGCGGAGGGAUCAUUACUGAGUUUUCAACUCUCCAAACCAUGUGAACUUACCACUGUUGCCUCGGUGGUUGGUCUUCGGACUGACCACCGGUGGACUACUAAACUCUUGUUAAUUUUUGGCAUUCUGAAUCAUAACUAAGAAAUAAGUUAAAACUUUCAACAACGGAUCUCUUGGUUCUGGCAUCGAUGAAGAACGCAGCGAAAUGCGAUAAGUAAUGUGAAUUGCAGAAUUCAGUGAAUCAUCGAAUCUUUGAACGCACAUUGCGCCCAUUAGUAUUCUAGUGGGCAUGCCUGUUCGAGCGUCAUUUCAACCCUUAAGCCUAGCUUAGUGUUGGGAGACUGCCUAAUACGCAGCUCCUCAAAACCAGUGGCGGAGUCUGUUCGUGCUCUGAGCGUAGUAAUUCUUUAUCUCGCUUCUGUAAGCCGGUCAGACGACAGCCAUAAACCGCACCCUUCGGGGGCACUUUUUAAUGGUUGACCUCGGAUCAGGUAGGAAUACCCGCUGAACUUAAGCAUAUCAAUA
rnacentral:rRNA from 1 species